rnacentral:rRNA from 1 species
AUUGCACGCUGGCGGCAGGCCUAACACAUGCAAGUCGAGCGAGCGGCGGACGGGUGAGUAAUGUAUGGGGAUCUGCCCGAUAGAGGGGGAUAACUACUGGAAACGGUGGCUAAUACCGCAUACUAUCGGAUGAACCCAUAUGGGAUUAGCUAGUAGGUGGGGUAAAGGCUCACCUAGGCGACGAUCUCUAGCUGGUCUGAGAGGAUGAUCAGCCACACUGGGACUGAGACACGGCCCAGACUCCUACGGGAGGCAGCAGUGGGGAAUAUUGCACAAUGGGCGAAAGCCUGAUCCAGCCAUGCCGCGUGUGUGAAGAAGGUCUUCGGAUUGUAAAGCACUUUAAGUUGGGAGGCGUUACUCGCAGAAGAAGCACCGGCUAACUCCGUGCCAGCAGCCGCGGUAAUUC